CGCUCGGUCCCGUGCUUAAACAUGCAAGUCGAACGAUGAACCCUUCGGUGGGGAUUAGUGGCGAACGGGUGAGUAACACGUGGGCAAUCUGCCCUNCACUCUGGGACAAGCCCUGGAAACGGGGUCUAAUACCGGAUAUCACUUCAACUCGCAUGCNU
rnacentral:rRNA from 1 species